GUGCCAGCAGCCGCGGUAAUUCCAGCUCCAAUAGCGUAUAUUAAAGUUGUUGUGGUUAAAAAGCUCGUAGUUGAACCUUGGGCCUGGCUGGCCGGUCCGCCUCACCGCGUGCACUGGUCCGGCCGGGCCUUUCCCUCUGUGGAACCCCAUACCCUUCACUGGGCGUGGCGGGGAAACAGGACAUUUACUUUGAAAAAAUUAGAGUGCUCCAGGCAGGCCUAUGCUCGAAUACAUUAGCAUGGAAUAAUAAAAUAGGACGCGCGGUUCUAUUUUGUUGGUUUAUAGGACCGCCGUAAUGAUUAAUAGGGACAGUCGGGGGCAUCAGUAUUCAACUGUCAGAGGUGAAAUUCUUGGAUCAGUUGAAGACUAACUACUGCGAAAGCAUUUGCCAAGGAUGUUUUCAUUAAUCAGGAACGAAAGUUAGGGGAUCGAAGACGAUCAGAUACCGUCGUAGUCUUAACCAUAAACUAUGCCGACUAGGGAUCGGACGGUGUUAUUCAUGACCCGUUCGGCACCUUACGAGAAAUCAAAGUGCUUGGGCUCCAGGGGGAGUAUGGUCGCAAGGCUGAAACUUAAAGAAAUUGACGGAAGGGCACCACCAGGGGUGGAGCCUGCGGCUUAAUUUGACUCAACACGGGGAAACUCACCAGGUCCAGACACAAUAAGGGAUUGACAGAUUGAGAGCUCUUUCUUGAUUUUGUGGGUGGUGGUGCAUGGCCGUUCUUAGUGGUGGGGUGACUUGUCUGCUUAAUUGCGAUAACGAACGAGACCUUAACCUGCUAAAUAGUCCGCAUGGCUCCGGCAGUGCGCUGGCU
rnacentral:rRNA from 1 species